CAGUAGCCGCGGUAAUACGGAGGGUGCAAGCGUUAAUCGGAAUUACUGGGCGUAAAGCGCACGCAGGCGGUCUGACAAGUCAGAUGUGAAAUCCCCGGGCUUAACCUGGGAACUGCAUCUGAAACUGUCAGGCUGGAGUCUUGUAGAGGGGGGUAGAAUUCCAGGUGUAGCGGUGAAAUGCGUAGAGAUCUGGAGGAAUACCGGUGGCGAAGGCGGCCCCCUGGACAAAGACUGACGCUCAGGUGCGAAAGCGUGGGGAGCAAACAGGAUUAGAUACCCGCGUAGUCCCUGUCUCUUAUAC
rnacentral:rRNA from 1 species